rnacentral:rRNA from 1 species
UACGUAGGGGGCAAGCGUUGUCCGGAAUCAUUGGGCGUAAAGAGCGUGUAGGCGGCCAGACAGGUCUGCUGUGAAAACUCGAGGCUCAACCUCGAGACGCCGGUGGAAACCGUUUGGCUAGAGUCCGGAAGAGGAGAGUGGAAUUCCUGGUGUAGCGGUGAAAUGCGCAGAUAUCAGGAAGAACACCCGUGGCUAAGGCGGCUCUCUAGUACGGUACUGACGCUGAGACGCGAAAGCGUGGGGAGCGAACAGG